rnacentral:rRNA from 1 species
GACGAACGCUGGCGGCGUGCUUAACACAUGCAAGUCGAACGAUUAAAGCUCUCUUCGGAGAGUGUAUAGAGUGGCGCACGGGUGAGUAACACGUAAGUAAUCUACCUUCGAGUGGGGAAUAACGUCCGGAAACGGACGCUAAUACCGCAUAAUGCAGCGGCAUCGCAAGAUGACAGUUGUUAAAGAUUUAUCGCUUGAAGAGGAGCUUGCGGCAGAUUAGCUAGUUGGUAAGGUAAUGGCUUACCAAGGCUACGAUCUGUAACCGGUCUAAGAGGACGGUCGGUCACGCUGACACUGAAUAACGGGUCAGACUCCUACGGGAGGCAGCAGUCGGGAAUUUUGGGCAAUGGGCGAAAGCCUGACCCAGCAACGCCGCGUGAAGGAUGAAGUAUUUCGGUAUGUAAACUUCGAAAGAAUAGGAAGAAUAAAUGACGGUACUAUUUAUAAGGUCCGACUAACUACGUGCCAGCCGCCGCAGUAAAAC